rfam:Parcubacteria bacterium GW2011_GWA2_33_14 TR31_C0036, whole genome shotgun sequence.
CGGGGUGUAGUGUAACGGCAGCACGAAUCGUUUGGGACGAUUUAAUCUGGGUUCGAAUCCCAGCACCCCGA